GACGAACGCUGGCGGCGUGCCUAAUACAUGCAAGUAGAACGCACAGUAUAUACCGUAGCUUGCUACACCAUAGACUGUGAGUUGCGAACGGGUGAGUAACGCGUAGGUAACCUGUCUGGUAGCGGGGGAUAACUAUUGGAAACGAUAGCUAAUACCGCAUAAUAUUAAUUAUUGCAUGAUAAUUGAUUGAAAGAUGCAACUGCAUCACUACCAGAUGGACCUGCGUUGUAUUAGCUAGUAGGUGAGGUAACGGCUCACCUAGGCGACGAUACAUAGCCGACCUGAGAGGGUGAUCGGCCACACUGGGACUGAGACACGGCCCAGACUCCUACGGGAGGCAGCAGUAGGGAAUCUUCGGCAAUGGACGAAAGUCUGACCGAGCAACGCCGCGUGAGUGAAGAAGGUUUUCGGAUCGUAAAGCUCUGUUGUAAGAGAAGAGCGGGUGUGAGAGUGGAAAGUUCACACUGUGACGGUAUCUUACCAGAAAGGGACGGCUAACUACGUGCCAGCAGCCGCGGUAAUACGUAGGUCCCGAGCGUUGUCCGGAUUUAUUGGGCGUAAAGCGAGCGCAGGCGGUUAGAUAAGUCUGAAGUUAAAGGCUGUGGCUUAACCAUAGUACGCUUUGGAAACUGUUUAACUUGAGUGCAGAAGGGGAGAGUGGAAUUCCAUGCGUAGCGGUGAAAUGCGUAGAUAUAUGGAGGAACACCGGUGGCGAAAGCGGCUCUCUGGUCUGUAACUGACGCUGAGGCUCGAAAGCGUGGGGAGCGAACAGG
rnacentral:rRNA from 1 species